CAUUGCAGCACUAGGCUGGGGGCCAUUUAAAAUAACAGCAACAAUAAAAAGCAUACACCUGUGAAAAGUGUGGCCCAAAGGAGACUCCAAGAAGGACACUUGUUGAUAGUAUGGAAGCUGAAACAAAGCAGAGUGUCCCCUUGUUAAACCUCAGCUGGGAACUUGCAUGCCAGGUUGACUCAAUUUUUUUUUCUUUCUGUUCAUAUCCAUUAAGGACCAUGAAAGUGCCAUAAAUAUGGGUUUGGGGGUUUCAAAUAAAUUUUAGUGAGUAGGCAGAUUUGCAAAUACAGGAUCCAUGAAUAAUGAGGAUUGCCUGUAUUCUCAUCCACACUUUACACAGGCAAAAAUUCAGGGUCAAAUUGCUUCAGACACGGACCCAGUAAGUGGCAGAGUAUGUUCCUUCCACAAGACAAGCGCAAGGUACUGCCCUGUCUCAGACGUUCUCUUGCCUUUCUGAACUCAGUAACUCCUAGGGUAGAGGGGCAGCCCUUCCCUCCUCUGAGUUCCAAAAGCAGUGAUAAGGACAUGAUCACAUUAACUGAGCACUUGUCAUGUGCUGGCUUCUGUGCUAAGUGCUGUUUGAGUACUGACUCAUUUAAUCUCACACCCACCUUUGUGAGUCAGUUCUGUUGACAUCACUACUGUAAGUAUGCACAGAGUGGGUAGUCAGUGUGGCCGCUGUCACCCAACUUGUAAGAGGAAGUUCUAGGAUCCUAUCACAGGCAGCUCAAGCCUUUGGCAGGUGCACCGCACACACAACCUUAGUACCUAAUCCUAACCUCUACUGUUCAUGCAACAUGCUGUGUGGAAGUUACCUAUUUGAUUCUCUGCUUUCCUCCAAAAGACCGUGAGUUCACUAAAAACAUCAGCCUUAUUUUAUUCCUCUCUGUGUCCCCGCCGCCUGGCCCAGAUGCUAACAUGCACCAGGAGGUCAGCAAGUAAUUAGCAGAUAAAUAACCAAAGACAUGAACCAAUGCACCUCCACCUCCGCCUUCCUGGUACCCAGCACAGGGCCUGGCACACAGGGGUUGUUCAACAAAUAUUUGCUCAAGAGGAUGGUCAACAUUUUCCACGAGCAGCAUUACUUUCCAGCAAGAGAGGAUACUACGUUCUCCAGUGCUUCUGUCCACCAGCUCUAGGCAGGCAACAGUGCCAGCCCCUCCUCUGAGCUGUGACAGGAUGCCUCCUGGCUCUGAAAGAGUCCAGCUAAUUAGACUCGUGUCUGCCAACAGAGAGAGUGGACAAAUACUGAGAGGAAACUGUUAGCAGAGAAGAGGAGGAUAACGCGCUGGCGAGAGCAGUGAGGAGAACAAUACAAUGACUACCACUCUGAGCAUCUACCAUGUUUGGGGAGCUGUCCUAGGUGCUGAUUCAUAACAAACAGUGAGGCAUGUUAAGCACGAUAAAAUCGGGGUUUAUUCCUAGCUUG